GAUGAACGCUAGCUACAGGCUUAACACAUGCAAGUCGAGGGGCAGCAUUUCAGUUUGCUUGCAAACUGGAGAUGGCGACCGGCGCACGGGUGAGUAACACGUAUCCAACCUGCCGAUAACUCGGGGAUAGCCUUUCGAAAGAAAGAUUAAUACCCGAUGGUAUAAUCAGACCGCAUGGUCUUGUUAUUAAAGAAUUUCGGUUAUCGAUGGGGAUGCGUUCCAUUAGGCAGUUGGUGAGGUAACGGCUCACCAAACCUUCGAUGGAUAGGGGUUCUGAGAGGAAGGUCCCCCACAUUGGAACUGAGACACGGUCCAAACUCCUACGGGAGGCAACAGUGAGGAAUAUUGGUCAAUGGGCGCAGGCCUGAACCAGCCAAGUAGCGUGAAGGAUGACUGCCCUAUGGGUUGUAAACUUCUUUUAUAUGGGAAUAAAGUUUUCCACGUGUGGAAUUUUGUAUGUACCAUAUGAAUAAGGAUCGGCUAACUCCGUGCCAGCAGCCGCGGUAAUACGGAGGAUCCGAGCGUUAUCCGGAUUUAUUGGGUUUAAAGGGAGCGUAGGUGGACAGUUAAGUCAGUUGUGAAAGUUUGCGGCUCAACCGUAAAAUUGCAGUUGAUACUGGCUGUCUUGAGUACAGUAGAGGUGGGCGGAAUUCGUGGUGUAGCGGUGAAAUGCUUAGAUAUCACGAAGAACUCCGAUUGCGAAGGCAGCUCACUGGACUGCAACUGACACUGAUGCUCGAAAGUGUGGGUAUCAAACAGGAUUAGAUACCCUGGUAGUCCACACAGUAAACGAUGAAUACUCGCUGUUUGCGAUAUACAGUAAGCGGCCAAGCGAAAGCAUUAAGUAUUCCACCUGGGGAGUACGCCGGCAACGGUGAAACUCAAAGGAAUUGACGGGGGCCCGCACAAGCGGAGGAACAUGUGGUUUAAUUCGAUGAUACGCGAGGAACCUUACCCGGGCUUAAAUUGCAUUUGAAUAUAUUGGAAACAGUAUAGCCGUAAGGCAAAUGUGAAGGUGCUGCAUGGUUGUCGUCAGCUUGUGCCGUGAGGUGUCGGCUUAAGUGCCAUAACGAGCGCAACCCUUAUCUUUAGUUACUAACAGGUCAUGCUGAGGACUCUAGAGAGACUGCCGUCGUAAGAUGUGAGGAAGGUGGGGAUGACGUCAAAUCAGCACGGCCCUUACGUCCGGGGCUACACACGUGUUACAAUGGGGGGUACAGAAGGCAGCUACCUGGUGACAGGAUGCUAAUCCCAAAAGCCUCUCUCAGUUCGGAUCGAAGUCUGCAACCCGACUUCGUGAAGCUGGAUUCGCUAGUAAUCGCGCAUCAGCCAUGGCGCGGUGAAUACGUUCCCGGGCCU
rnacentral:rRNA from 1 species